rnacentral:rRNA from 1 species
UACGUAGGGUGCGAGCGUUUGUCCGGAAUUAUUGGGCGUAAAGAGCUUGUAGGCGGUUUGUCGCGUCUGCUGUGAAAUCCGGGGCUCAACCCCGGACUUGCAGUGGGUACGGGCAGACUAGAGUGUGGUAGGGGAGACUGGAAUUCCUGGUGUAGCGGUGAAAUGCGCAGAUAUCAGGAGGAACACCGAUGGCGAAGGCAGGUCUCUGGGCCACUACUGACGCUGAGAAGCGAAAGCAUGGGGAGCGAACAGG